rnacentral:rRNA from 1 species
GACGGUAUUUAACCAGAAAGUCACGGCUAACUACGUGCCAGCAGCCGCGGUAAUACGUAGGUGGCAAGCGUUAUCCGGAUUUAUUGGGCGUAAAGAGAGUGCAGGCGGUUUUCUAAGUCUGAUGUGAAAGACCUUCGGCUUAACCGGAGAAGUGCAUCGGAAACUGGAUAACUUGAGUGCAGAAGAGGGUAGGUGGAACUCCAUGUGUAGCGGUGGAAUGCGUAGAUAUAUGGAAGAACACCAGUGGCGAAGGCGGCUACCUGGUCUGCAACUGACGCUGAGACUCGAAAGCAUGGGUAGCGAACAGGAUUAGAUACCCUGGUAG